GCCCUCUCCGUCGAGUGGCUCACCGGUGUCACGUGGCAGGACGCCGGCAAGGUACGAUUCUCUGCUGUUGCUUCUUCUCCACGUAUCAAUCAUUUCCUUCCAAUGAACUUUUAGUGGAUCUUUGCUAGAAAAUUCUUCACAAGCACCUUAAGUAUGAAAAUAAAAAAAGAGAAAUUAAAUGAUCUUGCUAAAAUUAAUUCAUAAAAAAUUAACCAUAAAAGUAUACAAAUUGAAUACAGAAUUAGUAAAAUAAUUUACGAGAAUACUCAUUUUAAUUUGUUUACUUGCUUACAAAGAAUGAUAAUAAAAACUAACAUGAGAGAAUGAUAUUCAACAAUUUGGAAUGUUUGUGCAUGAUUUUGGUGUUAUUUUUAGUUUCUGCGCAAGAAAAAUGAAAGACACUUCUUCAUGGUUUGGUUUUAAGGUGGAGCUAGUAGAAGGAUCAUCAUACCUUGGGCAACCACUUCCAUUCUCAAUCACCACAUUGAUUUGGAUCGAGGUUCUGGUAAUUGGGUACAUAGAGUUCCAGAGGAAUGCAGAGCUUGACCCAGAAAAGAGACUGUACCCAGGUGGGAGCUACUUCGACCCUCUUGGUUUAGCCUCAGACCCAGAGAAGAAAGCCACUCUUCAAUUGGCAGAGAUCAAGCACGCACGUCUUGCCAUGGUGGGCUUCUUGGGCUUUGCAGUCCAAGCUGCUGCCACUGGCAAGGGCCCACUCAACAACUGGGCCACCCACUUGAGUGACCCACUUCACACAACCAUCAUUGACACCUUCUCCUCGUCUUCUUAAGAAAAAAGUCUUGUGCCUCGUGGGUAAAUUGUAAACGUCUUUCGGCUUUGGGUUGUAAUUAAUCAAACAUUUCACUUAUAGCUGGUACUUGUGAAACUGGUAACUUGAAUUGGAGAGGCUUAGUAGAGUUCUUCUGCUUCAUCAUAAAUUGUUAUUCUCCUGUUAAUGUUAAUUAAGAACGAGGGAGGGCCAAAAAUACUGAUAAAAUUGAGAUCACCAUGCAAGGUAAGGGCAAGAAAUUGGUUUCAGGCUAUAUUGCAGAUUUUGAUUUAUUCAUUUCAUGACUUUGAUUCUGGAUAACCACUACCUUACUAAAGUUUGUGACAAUGGUUUUUAAGUGUUAAAGAGCCAAUUGAAAAAAUUUAUUGCAUCUAAUACUGCGUUUUUAUUACAUUACACAACAGCUUAAUAUAUGAAAUAGCAUGGUUUCAUCUAUUUGGAUAAUUGUGGAUUGAAUAAUUGAUAAAAUUGAUUAAUGAUAUUUUAUUGAUAAUACUGAUGGCUUGAUGGUAGACAAUGGUGCUCUUUUCACUUUUUAUUAAGGGAAAGGUUAUAACUUGAUUUUUUUUAUACAUGAAUUGAAAAAUUACCUGCAUAUAAAUAACCCAUUUUUUUAAGUUAGAAUUUAGUUUUGGGAAAAUCGAAUUUUGAACUAUAGUGAAGAAAAAACUAGUUGAAAAACAAGUCAGGUUCUAAAUUAGGUUUUUAAUUAUUUUUUUUCAUUCAAAAAUAAAGAAAGAAGAGAUUUUAAAAAAUUAAUUGCCCAAAAAUAACAAAAUAUCCAGAAUCAAAUUCUGACAUGAAAAAAAUAAUUGUUAUUUUUGUAAAUAUUUCACAGAGUAUAUUAUUCGCAUAAUUUUAAAAAGUAUGCUAUUUGAGUGAAAAAAAUUUCCCAAAAAUAACAAAAUAUCCAGAAUCAAAUUCUGACAUGAAAAAAAUAAUUGUGUUAUUUUUGUAAAUAUUUCACAGAGAAUAUUAUUCGCAUAAUUUUACGAAGUAUGCUAUUUGAGUGAAAAAAAUUUCCCAAAAAUAACAAAAUAUCCAGAAUCAAAUUCUGACAUGAAAAAAGUAAUUGUGUUAUUUUUGAAAAUAUUUGACAGAGUAUACUAUUCGCAUAAUUUUCAGAAGUAUGCUAUUUGAGUGAAAAAAUCUUACAACUUUCUUUAUACUAUACUAUUAAAGAUGUGAAGAACAUUUUAUUUUGUUUGGAACAUGUGAUCUUCUUUGGAAGAAGUUGGGAUUGGAAGGUAGUUCAGAAAUGAAGAGAAGUUGUGGUGAAAAUUUAAAAAGGAAAGGAUGGACAAACGUAUAAAACAACUUUUCCUAUAUAGGAGUGUUACGGAAUUGGCUCAAUAUACGAAAUAUAUAAGUAUAAGAGAGAAAAUACAAAUAUAUAUUUACUGUUAUUAAUGAAGUUGAGAUAUUGCUGAUAAAAAGAAUUAAUGAAGUUGAAAUGAUUGUGUUUCUUCAACCAAUUUCUUAGAAUGAAAUGGAAUGAUGAUGAUGGUCUUGGAAUUGAUAAAUAAAUAAAUUUAAUUAUGUAAUUCAUGUAAGUAGUUUUAAAUAUAUAUAUAUAUAUAUAUAUAUAUAUAUAUAUAUAUAUAUAUAUAUAUAUAUAUAUAUAUAUAUAUAUAUAAAUAAGUGGUUUCAAAUAUUUAUGUUAAUGUAAAUUAAAGUAGAUAUCAAGAAUGUUGCAUUAUCUCAAAAUUUUAUGUUGAUAUGGGAAGACUUUUUGUUUCGGGGUGGGGUCAAGAUACUUAAUCCUUUCACAAUUUUUUUCUCUUCUGUCCGUCUAAUUCGUCUCUAAUCUUCUAAGUCUGUCCCGGAGGAUACCUGUUAAAGGUUCUUCGAUGUCAAAGUCAGUUAAUGAAUUCGUUCGGGAAUCAAAGUGUAGUCUUAAAUACGUAAUGAAUGAACCUACUUACCUCUUACCUUUGACUUCUAUAUAUAGCACUGACUGUGGGCCUAAGAUUAGUAAAACCUUAAUCAAGACCCAAUCACAGUCCAAUAACCUUUAAUCUUAUCUUACCUUGACUUAAUCUAUUUCCCUCUUAAUUUUGACAUUAUCCUUCUAAGAUGACCGUCCGUCUCGUCACAUUCCCUGGGUUGUCCGUCCGGGAGUUCCCAGUACACUUUUAUUGAUAAUGAUGAUUUUUAUCGACAUCUUUCAUUUGUCAUUAAUCCACUAAUGAACUCAAAAGCAUAACUCUAAUAAUCAUACGUUAUAAUUGAAAUAAAACUUAAAAUAAGAAGUAAUAUACUUUACAUAUAUUACAAAAUGUUGUAUGUAUUCUUUUUAAGAGUUUCAAAAAUAUCUUUAUAUACAACAUUUUUACUUCUUUUAAAAAAUGUUGUAUGUAAUUUUUUUAAGAGUUCAAAAAAAUUUCUUGGGUUAAAUAUGCUUUUAGUCCUUAUACUAUCAAGUGGUUUUGGUUUCAGUUCCUCUUUCAAAGUAAGGUACAUUUUAGUCCUUUUCCUUAAGGAAACUUUGAUUUUAAUCCUUCAAAACUGACACCGUUAAAAACCAGCUGAUGUAGCUAACGGUGUACAGAUUUUUUUAUUAGACUGAGUCAGCGAUGCAAGCCACCAUGGAUCCCCACCCAAGAACCUUCCCCGUUCUCUCUUACGUCAUGUCUCGUCUCCCUUCCUUCGGCCCCAAAAACCCCACAUCCUCUUCCGCCUCCUCUGCCUCCGCCUCCACCUCCAACUCUGCCUCCACUUCUCGUUCCCAUCACGUCGACAUCAAACAACCACCUCACUCUGAUGCUUCCUCUUCCUGCAUCGUCGGCCAAAUGCCCAAUCUAGCCAACCCGGGAAUGCUGGCCUCCAUGACCCACGUCAUCUCCGACGUUGCCCAGGCUCGAUCCGUCUUCAAGGUCAUGGGCCCCGGCCCACCCACUAAUGAAAACUUCAUAUUCAAGUAUGUUGCUCAACGUAUAGCUGUUGCUGAGGGCAUUGCCUUGGUUACUCUCGACACUUUCCUAAGUAAAUUACUUUUUUAAUUUUUUCCACGAAUUCCCUAAAUAAAGCUGCGAAACCUGAUUGAAGGGGCCUGGAUAAUUUUUUUGUUGAGAAUGUCAUGUUGAAUUAGUAAAGCAUGGACAACGGGAAGGUAUUUUUAUACUUUCCUUCAAGUAUAAUAAGUAUGUUUAUUUUUAUAGUAAUUACUUAAAAUUCAUAUAAAUAUUUUUUUUUCCUGAUUGCAUGUUUGUUAAAGUAAUAGAUGUUUUCGUUUUUUUCAUUCUAAAAUUAUUUUGGUGUUUUUGGUACACUGUUGUUUUUAAUUUUGAUACACCUUUUGAUUGACAACAUAACAACACGAUGAAACAAAGAAAGUGUGAGAAGUUGAAUUGGAAUGAGAAAGGGAAAAAUUGAGAGGAACUCACUGGGAAUUUGUGAGAGGGAGAAGGAGGAGGGAAGUAAAUGUGGAAGUUCAUGGAGCAGCCGAGUGUGGAACUGAAAUGUUUGAACCUCUUCCAGGCCCCCCGGAGAUCGACGAGGGCAGCUGGAUGCCGAGAAGCACUUGAGAACGACGACGUCGACUAUGACCAUUUUUCAGAGGGUGGGGGAGGUUGGGUGAAAGAUAGAAGGAAGAGAUGAGGGAGAGAGAGAGAGGGGGGGAGAAAAGGUAAUUGAGUUAGCGCAAGAAAAAAAAUCAUGUCAGUCUACCGUUAGCCAGCUCACCAGAUUUUUAACGGUGUUAAUUUUGGAGGACUAAAAUCAAAGUUUCUUUAAGGUGGAGGACUAAAAUGUACCUUACUUUGAAAGAGGGACUAAAACCAAAACCGCUCCAAAGUAUAGGGACUAGAAACAUAUUUAACCCAAAUUUCUAUAUAUACAACAUUUUUACUUGUGAUACUAAUGUUUCCAUCUUCAUCUAUAAUUAGAAUUUUCAAUUUUUUUUUUCUGACUCUAGAAACAAUAAUAAUGUAUUAUUUUUGAGUCAAACAUUUUAAUAUAUUAAAAUACGAAAUCAAUAUGUUAAAAUUUUAACAGUAAAUUUUAUAAUAAUAUCACUUAACAAUUAGAUUUUGUACUGGGAACUCCCGGACGAACCGGACGAACGGCCUAAUGAAUGCGACGAGACGGACGGUCAUCCAGGAAGGAUAAUGUCAAAAUUAACAGGGAAACAAAUUGAGUCAAGGUAAGAUAAGAUUAAAGGUUAUUGAACUGUGAUUGGGCCUUGAUUUAGGUUUUACUAAUCUCAGGCCCAUAGCCAUUGCUAUAUAUAGAAGUCAAAGGUAAGAGGUAAGUAGGUUCAUUUUUUACGCAUUUAAGACUGCACUUUGAUUCCCGAAUGAACUCAUUAGCUGACUUUGGCAUUGGAGGACCUUUGGCAGGUACUCUCUCGGACGGACUUGGAGGCCGGAGACAGAUUGGACGGAAGAAGGAGAGAAGAAAUUGUGAAGAGAUUAGGUGUCUUGACCCCACCGCAGAACAGUUUUCAAGAUCAAUUUUAUACCAAGAUAAAUCAUAAUAAUAACAAAUACACUACUUUAUCAAUUUAUUAUGUAAUCACACAAAGAUUAUUAUUAAUGAUCAAACAAUUUAGUUUUCUUGAUAAAAGCAACUUAGAAUAAUAAACUACAGAAAACUAAGGAUAGAUAAAAGUUCAGUGUUAAGUGUUUCAUCCAGAACGCGCAAACAUGUUAUGUUAAAUGAGGUGUAAUUUGUGAACUGAGAUUCUUUUGUUAGAUCUUUGGAUGACCAAGAGUCAAAAUGUAAUUUCCCCGCUCCCCUAUUUUAAAAUUUCUUUUUAUUAGUCGCUUCCUUUUACCUUACUUGUUUUCGAAAGUCCCUUAAUUCAUUUAGUUGCAUGUAUUUAAUUGCUUGGAUCCUGAGAUCAUCCAGGUUCAAUGCCAAUUUCUUGCAUAAGUUAUCUAAAAAUGGGCUUAGCUUUAACACGAUUACCAUAUGAUGCAUGGUCACCUCAAGGUUUAGGUUUCAUAUCUUUAAGACACUUUGCUAGAGCGAUCCAUAAAAUGUUCUUAGAGAUUCAUCUUUACCCUGAUAGAUGUUAACAAGUGUGAUUGAUGUCAAGUGAUAGGGUCUACUUUGUGGCAAACUGUGCUCUAAACUUCGAGACGAUCAUGACAAAGCAAUUGAUUGAACUGGACAACAAACAUGUGAACCAAACGAGUGUUAUUCAUUUGAGGGAUGUGGGGAACACUUGAUGACAUCAUGUACAAAGUACAAAGGUGCUAAUGUGCUCAUCUAGGUCAAUGGACCCAUCACAUUUUUUAAAAGACGACAUUUUCCAAUUAUAUGGUAGGGGAGUUUCCAUGAUCCCUUUAGUAAAUGAGUGUCGAGGCUGAGACAAGUUAGCAGUGUCAACGCAGAAGGUAAAUAUUCUCGAGUGGCCCUAUAACUACUUUCUUGGGUCGUUCAGUCUCUUGUCUUCAUCGUCGGGGCUUGUUUGCUCGUUGCCUCAUCUAGGAAUUCUUAGCCUUGGGGGCAUUCAAAUCUUUAACACUUUUUGUUUUUAAAGUUUCCAAUUCCUUCCUAAGUUCUUGAACCACUACCAUGGGAUCUAACUACUCAUUUAUUUCUUCAACUACUACUCCAUUACUCGUCAUGUUUCGUGAUCAUCAUUAGGAUUAAAAGUCUUCUCAGUCCCAUGGUGGACGUCAAAAUGUUCUUACAAAACCGAUAAUUUUGUAUGGUAUAUUGUUUUCUUCCUAUUACACAUUAAUUAUUCUAAUUUGUUGAGUAUGUUGUUCUUUUCUUCCAAAUUGGCUUUUUUUGGUUUAUGAUAUAGGUGUCCAAGUAUGUGUCGAGCUUCUAUUUGUUUGAUUCAUGGUAAUUAUUCAUGAACUGAGUUUGUUGAUUAACUAACUAUAUUGUGUUCGUCAAACUAUGCUGUUUUCAUUGGAAAUCGAGCUAUUUUCACUAAAAAUGCAAUGAUUUUUUCUUUAGCCAUGUUGUUGCGUUAAAACUAUGAUGUUCAUUCCCUCAGCCUAUGUGUUUUGGAAGUCGACCUUGAGGUUUUUUUACCCUAGUUGAGUUAUUCAUGAUGUUUCUUGAGUGGUAUGUGAUCCAUGUUGUUUGUUUUGUUACCGAACUAUGUGAUUGAUUGAUGAGUUUUGUUUGACCAUGACUGUGUUGUUUGUUGUUGGUUGGACUGUUUUCGUGCUGAGGUAAUUGUUUAUUCACAAAUUGACUCAUUUUUUAACAAGUUGAGAUUGUUUCUAACUUUUUAAAAAAGAUAGAACCAUUUUAAACAUAAUUUCUCUUUUCGAAGGAUAAAAAAAGAUAUUAAACCUUUUAUUUCCAAACAAAGAUUUAAAGACCAACUACAACUUUGACUCCUUCAAACAACACCACAACUUCUCUCUCCCUCCUUACUUUCUCCCAUUUCUCACUUUCUCCAACUCUACAAAAUUUAAUGACAAUAUAUAAAAUAUAUACUAGAAGAAAACAUGAUUUUAGGUUUUCUAUUUUCUUCAUCUUAGAAUCUGAUUGAAGAUUAAAAUAAACAUUUAAUUGGAGCAGUUGAACAGUGCAAUUUAAAAUCAUUUUCUUGGUAGUUGCCCCUUACAAUAUUGUAAGUAGACUUUACCUUUUCCUCUGCGCCUCCUCCAUUUUUCAACCACUAAUAAAAACCACUCAUUCCUUUGCCAAACACUCCUUCAUCAAUUGCAGCACUUCUUCAUCAACAAGACACGGUCAAUGAUUUCACCGUCUCCGAUCUUCAUCUCCUUCACGCUCCUGUUCAUCACUUUUGCGUGCGCCACAUCGUCGUUGAACGAAAUCGAGAACUUCAAACCGAAAGGUUCCGACGGAUUCACGGUUCCAAGCCAUGUAGAGGAACAGGGAGAAGAAUCGGUAAAAGAGUAUUUGGAUAGCGUAUUCAAAAACGCACUCUUCGGCACUGAUUCUACUGAAACGUUGCUGAAUAAGGAAGCAUAUCCACAUAGCUAUGCCAUCGAAGCAGAGAGCAAUACACAGAUUAAGGACCAGGGUAAGUGAAUAAGUAAUUCUGAAAUUUUUUUUGUUAAUAUUUCUAUUUUUUUAUGGGUUCAAUUUUGAUUAUUUUUAGCAAUAAAAUUACUGCUAGGAAUAGAUUUUAUUACAAUUUUAAUUUAAAAUAAUUAUCGUAAAUUUUAAAAUAUUAUUAUUUAAAAUUUAAAAUAUUAUUAUUUAAUAAUAGUAAUAAUAAUAACAAUAAUUGAUAUAUUUUAAUUUUAAUGUAAUACAAAAAUUAUAAUUUUAUUAUAAAAUUUUAAAUUUUCUUAAUUAAAUAAAAUUAUAAUGAUUAUUAGGUGUUUUUAUUAAUUUUUUAAAAUUAAUUAUAUAUUAAUGUGAAUUUUUAUUUUAUUUGAUUAUUUAAUUAUUAACAAAAUAUAAAUUAAAGCUUUAUAUUAAAAUUAAAAAUUUUAAUAUACUAAAACAAAAUAUGUCAAUAUUUAUUCUACUUAAUUAAAUAUUUGGUUUUAUAUAGUUGAAUGAUAAAAUGAUUUUUUAAAAUUUAUUUUUUAAUUAGUUUAAUUUCUUAAACAAAUUAACAACAAUAGUAAAAGGGUCACUGAUUAAAUAAUUUUAUUAAAAUAGUUAGAUUCUUUCAAUAAAUGUAUUAGUUUUGUCUACUAAACAUUCAAUCAUCAAGUAAUGGAAACAAAUUGGAAAUAAAAAUUACUAUAUCAAAAAAAAAAAAUGGAAAUAUCAAUCCGUUUGAGUUUGAUUUCAAAAUAAUAAAAUAAUUAGCCGUUUCGGGGUACAUAUAGUGUUUAUAUAUAAAAAUCUACCAGUGAAAGAUAAUAUUAAAUUUUAUAUAUAUGUUAUUUAGUCCUUUUAAAUAUAAUUAGAAUAUAGUAAAAGUUAUAUGACUAUAAUAAAAUCAUAUAUUGAAUUAUUUUUCUGUAAUAAUUACUAUAAAUUAAAUUUCAGUGGAUGCAGAACCUAGGCUGAUAUUGCCGAAACACAUAGAAGAGGAGGGACCAGAAGCGAUCAAAAAAUAUUUGGAUGACUUAUUCAGCAAAACACUCUUUGGCACUGAUUCCAUUCAACUGGACAGCAAAACACACGUUAAGCAAGAGGGUAAAUCUCUAUUUCUUAAAUCUUUCUUUAACUUUAUAAAAAAAAUAUUAUCUUAAAGACAUUAUCUUAAAAUUUUUAGGAAAAAAUAUUAUCAAUCUUUUAUAUAAUUGAAUUUUAUUAUUGUUAUAUUUUUAUAAAAAUUUCCUUCAAUGAUCCUAACAAAAUAAUGUUUUCACCUUUUUAAAUUAAUUUAGGAAUGAAUAAAAAUUUAUUUUCCAUCUAGUCAAUCUAUUAGACUAACAAAAAUGUUAGGAUAUUAUACCAUAUGCAUAUCUAUAGAAAUAACCUAUUCAUAAGUUAAUUUUUAGACCAGAUUUUAUACUGUUUAUAUAAACUUUUAAUUUUGAUUUAUAACCAAUCAAUUUUAAUUUGUCAUAUUAAUCACAUUAAAUACUGAUCCAGAAAUGUCUGAUUUAGUUCUGAAUAGGUAGGUCAAUAGUCAGUUUCAUUAAGAGUUUUGGUUACUUUAAGUUGUUCUCUGACCAAGUUAAUUUAAAAGUGACUUUUAUUCUGAUUUAUGAACAAGUUUUCCUGUAUUGAAUUGAGUUAGGAAUGACUUAUGGAAAUGAUAUUUUGACACCAAUUUUUUGACACUAUUUUGACACUGUACACGUGUCAAAAUGUGAUUGGACGAUUUCAAUUAAAAAAAAAAAACUUUGAUUUUUUUCUUCCAAAUAUACCCUUAUCUCAAUUUUUUUUUAAUUUGAAAUCGUCCAACCACGUUUUGACACGUAUGUUAAAAUAAUAUAAAAAAUUGGUGUUAAAAUAUGAUUUUCGUAUUCUAAAUUCUUAACAACUAUGAAAAAUUACAUGUAUCACUCUUUUUAAGAGACUUCAUGAAUCAAAAUAGUAAAAUUAAAAAUUAGGUAGUUUUUGGUCCAAUUUUGGUCAAAAAUUUUUAAGCAGGUUUUUUUAGUUAGUUUUUAAUUUUUGAACCAUUAAAACAUUAAUUCGUAAAUUUUUUUAUUUGUUCUUUUAUUUAUUUUAUUUAUUUUAUUUUAUUUUAAGUCAGAAUGCUGAUAUGUGCUAACACUGCAUGUAGUUAAAAAAAAAUAGGAACUAUCUUUAAGACUGAUAGAGUAUUAAUAAAAAUGACUUAAAUAAAUAUAUUUUCAAAAAUUAAAAUUUAUUAAAACAGAGAAAAAAAAAGACUUACUUACAAAUUUUCAACAGAAAAUAAUAUAAAAAAAGAAUAAUUAAGUUUAAAAAUAAUAUUAAAGAAAAUUUAAAAUAAUUUUGAAACACUAGGUAAAAUACGUGAAUCGAAAGUACUAAGACAAACUUAAUUAAUUUUCAGAAACAGCAUUGAUUUCUUUUUAAUCUCUAUUUUUUAUUAAUACGUAUAUUCUCCCUUGUAAAUUUAUGCAAAGUAUUAAAAAAUGAUAUUGAUUUAUUUAUUUAUUCAGUUUUUUUUUUAUCUUAAAAUAUUUAAUUACUUAACAUACUACUCAUACAACUGAAUAUGAGAAGGACUUAAGUAUUUUUGUUUAAAGUCACUUGAAAAUAAGUUUUUUUUUUUUCAAAUGUUUAGGCGUUUCACUUGUACUAAAAAGCUUUCAAUCUGCAUUUUCAAUUUUUUUAAAAUAUCUAUUAUAUCCUACGUAAAAAAAACUCAACGCGUUUUAAAAUUUGAUUAAAUUUUUAUCGAAUUUCAAAAUUCAAUUAAAUUUUAAAAUCUGAUAAAAAUUCAAUAUAUUCUGAGAUCUGAAGUAUUUUAAAAUGCAAUGAAAUUAUUAUCAGAUUUCAAAAUUAUUUAAUAUAUGGUAUCAAAUUUUAAAAUCCAUUUAAUUUCCUUUUUUCUUUUAAUUUAAAAAUUAAUAAAUAUUUUAUUUGAUUUAAUAUUUUUAUCUAAUUUAAUAUAUUUAAAUAUAUCAAAUCAGAUUUUAUACUACCAUUAUUAUUAUUUUUGUUUUUUUAAUUUUCAUUAUUACUAAUUUUAUUUUAACUAUUUUAACUAUUUUUAUUUUUUUAAUAUAAUUAUUAUAAUAAUAGAAAUAAUAUUUUAAUAAUUAUUAAAGUAUGAAUAUAUAUAUAUAUAUAUAUAUAUAUAUAUAUGUAUAUUAAAUAAUAUAUUUAAAUUAAAUUAGAUUAUUAUUAAAAUUUAAAUUUUAAAACACUUUGUUAAGUGGGUUUGUUAACAUAUAUUUUUUUAAAUUUCAUUUUUUAUUAAAAUUUCAUAAAUAUUUAAUUUAAUUUAAUUUAUUAUUCUAGUAUAAUUUAAUAUAUUUAAGUAUAUUAAAUCAAAUUUUAUAUUAUUAUUUUUCUUUUUCUUUUUAUUGUUUUUGUUUUAUUUGUAUUACUUUUAUUUCAAUUGUUUUUAUUUUUAUUUUUAUAAUAAUACUAUUACAAUGAUAAAAAUUCUAUUUUAAUAAUUAUUGAAAUAUGAAGAUAUAUAUUUAAUAAUAUCAAAAUUUAAUUUAAAUUAGAUUAUUAUUAAAUUUUAAAAAAAUUUAAAAAAAUUGUGAAACUUUUUUUGAAAUCGUUUAACAAAUUUCUUUUAAAAUUUUGUUUUUAGUAUAAAAUUUAAUAAAUAUUUAAUUUUAUUUAAUAUUUUAAUAUAAUUUAAUAUACUUAAAUAUAUUAAAUCAGAUUUUAUAAUAUUAUUAUUUUUUAUUUUUAUUUUCAUUAUUAUUACAUUUAUUUAAUUAUUUUUAUUUUUACUUUUUAAUAUAAGUAUCGUAAUAAUAGAAAUUAUAUUUUAAUAAUUGUUAAAAUAUUAAUAUAUAUUAAAUAAUAUUAAAAUUUUCAAUUAAACUAAAUUAUUAUUAAAUUUUAAAUUUAAAAACGAAAUUUAAAAAAGUUUGUCAAAUGGAUUUUAGAAUCCAUAGUUAAAAGGGAUGCAUGAUAAUUUUACUAAGAAGGAAAAAAAAUUAAAAAAAUAUUUAUUAAAGUUAAAUAAAGAAUUUUUGAAGAAAUUGGAGGUGAAAGAUGAAAUCAGAUGAAAUGUUCCAAGUGUUUUAGGCGGGUGUUACUCCCUACACCUCCCCAAGUGGGACCUGUACCUCCCCAUUAAUUUAAUUUAGAGUGCUUCUCCUUGCACCUCACUCCUUUCUCCCUGCACCUCCCAAAUUAUCAUUUUAUCCCUCAUUUAUUAAAAGUCAAAAUGUAAUAAUGAUGCAUUAAUGAUUGUUAACCACAUACCUCUCAACUACCAACCAUCCUUUCUCAUCCUAUAAACUCCCAAAUAAAAAUAUAUUAAUAAAGGAUUAAAAAAAUUAAAAAACAAUAAAAACAUAAAAUAAAUUGAGAAAGUUAAAAUAAAAAAAUUACACAAAUUAAUUAUUCUUUAAUUAAAUAAAUACGUUAAAAAAUUUAUAUAUUAAAAACAAUUUCAAAGUAAAAAAUACAUACAUAUUAAAUAAUAUAUACAAAAUUUAAAAUUAUAAAAAAAUAUAUUUAAAACAAAUUAACAAACAAAAUAUAUACAAUAUUCAGAAUGAAAAAAAAAAAAGAAAACCCUAAAAAUCAAUCGCCGCAGCUGGCAACGAAGGCACCUCCCUCUGCCGCACCUCGGAACCCACUUUCUCUCUGUCGCACCUCGAAAACAACCGCAACUCAAUCACCCUCUGCCGCAGCUCGCAAUGCACCCCCUCCUCUGCCGCAGCUCGUGUGUCGCUUCUCCAACUACGGCUAACCACAGCCGCAUCUCCCACAUGCGGUUACUCAAAGUCGCACCUCCCAGGUGCGGCACCCCUCAACCGCGACUCUGAGUUGCGGCACUUCUAAACCGCGCUUCCAAAUGCGUUUCUACGCACCUCCCUCUGAACCCAUUAAAUAUCCAACCCCAACCCCAACCCUCAGUGUUCCUCUCAACAACAGAUUUAGCAUAAUACAGAUCUAGCAUAAUACACUUAAAGAAAAAACAUAUGUAAGUAACCUGGAUGCGUGCUGGAGAUGUCCUCGAUCUCACUACCACCAGGAACGACGAACAGGAGAAACGAAAGUCUUCUUCUUCUGUGUGCAAGGUAAAGGAAAGAAGGGAGUUCUUCUGUUAGAAAGGUAAAGAUAAAGGAAAGAAGGGGGUGUAGAGAUGGAAGACUCAGUCUUCUGACAUGGAUGGGAAAGAAGCAUGGAAAUGGAGCAGCUUUUUAGAAAAUCAAAAUAUUCUGUUAUGGGUAAAAUUGAAAAUAAAGAAAGAAUGGGAGGUGCAGGACGAGGUGAGUGAGGUGUAUGGAGGAAUACUCUUUAAUUUAUUUCAAAAAUAUUUUACAUCUCCCCACUAUUUUCUUUUAUUCCAAAAAUACCCUACACCUACCCACUAUCCUUAGCAAUCUUUCUCUUUCUCUCUCUACAUUAAUGGAGCAUUUACAGGGCUCAUUAAUGGAGCAUUUACAUGACUUAAAUUUGAAGUUAGAUAUAUUUUCUUAAAUAAGUUUGAUUCAAUGUUAUUUUCGUUGUUGAAUAUAUUUUUUUCUUGUCAAAUUACUUAAUAAAUGGUAAAAUUUUGUUCUAAAUUUCUAGAAAAAUGUUUAUAUACAUGUAUCUUUUUUUUACAUAUAAUAUAUCUAUAAUUUUUAACAUUAUAUUAUGUUUUAACUCACCGACAUGUUUGACUCAAAUAACUUGAAUAAAAUAUUUAAUUUAUUAGAUAAAUAAUAUAAAAAUAUUAUUAAAUACUUAAAAUAUAAAAAAAAAUUAUUUGUUAAAGAUUUAGAAUUUAUUUAGUUCUUUCGUCAUUAUAAAGUCAAUAUAUAAUAAUAAUAAUAUAUCAUUGUUUACUAUUAAUAGUAUUAUAUUUAUUAUAUUGUAUUUGCAUCUAACUUUUAAUUUUAUAAAAUGGAAAUGGUAGAAGUGAUUAAAGUUUCCUCUGAAUUUUAUAUUUUAUAGUAUGUUACAAAUUCAAAUCUGAAGCAUGUGAAUGCUCUAUUAAUGUAGAGAGAGAAAGAUGGUUAAGGAUAGUGGGGAGGUGUAGGGUAUUUUUGGAAUAAAGAAAAUAAUGGAGAGGUGUAGAAUAUUUUGAAAUAAAUUAAAUUAAUGGAGAGGUACAGAUCCCACUUGGAGAGGUGUAGGGAGCAACACCCGUUUUAGGCUGCUUGUCAGUAACCCACCCAAGAUAGGGCCGCUUCUUUAUGCACCGUAAUUUCUCUUUCUGCAGUCUCCUAAUGAUCAAAUGCCCAUUUUACCCUUCACUCAACAGUAGAAAACGUAACCCUAAUUUUCUAUUGACAUUUCGUUCUCGCACCUCCGUCCCCAUCUGUCAAAGGCCUCUGAAUUGGUCUUAUAAGAAGAAGAGUAGGACUUCUAAGUUGCAUUUGGAAAAAGAAAAUAAGAAGGAAAACAUUUCCUAAUAGAGUGUUUGGAAGUAAUUUCGAAUCCAAAAAUGUUUUAUGAAAUAUAUAUAUUUAUAGAAAUUAAACAUAUAUUUAUUUAUUUAUAAAAAUUAAAAAUGAGACCCGAGUACAUUUUAAAUAAAGAGAUUGAUAUUAUAUUCAAUUUAAAAUUUUAAACAAUAGAUCCGUAAAAUAUAGAUUUACACUUUUAAUAAUUAAUUACUUUGUCUGUGUUUUGUAUAGGCAAGAACAAGGAGGAUGCAGAUAAAUCAUUUAAUAAAGUGUCUAAAUUGAGAAAGGAAGAAGAAUUGGUAAAAGAUGAUAUUGAAGUGAAUGUUAACCUUGAGAUCGUGGGUGAUGGAGAGUAUGUUCUGAAGAUGAAGAGGGUGAAUCCAAGUUCAAACAAUGAAGAUGAAGUAGAAAGGGCUAAGCAUUUGGCUCAAAAUGGAGCAAUGUUGUUACAUUACGGAGAGAUUCUUCAAGACAUGGGAGAAAAAUUGAUUACCCAAUCCCAGGCAUUGCUUUACUCUGUUUUUAAAAUGCCUGCGCCUUCUAAAUUCAAGUCUCAUGAUGAUCAAUGAUAGUAAUUAUGUACACCUUCACUUUCUUAUUUUUAAUGCUAACUAUAAGGACACUGCGAAUUUACUAGUUUUUGAAUACAAAACUGUUACAUGUUAUCACUUUAGUCUAUGGUUUGUAUCUAACAAAAUAUAAAAAUAUCUUAAAAUUAUAAUUUGUUUCAUCUCUAAAUUCAAAUCUUUACUUUCAUUUUAGUUUUUCACUAUAUUGUAAUUAAUAUUAUAACUGAAGGUGCGUGUUAAUGAUAAUUUUUUACAGGACACAUACAAAAACCACACCCCCUCCCUUCCAAUCCACCAAUUCAUCCACACAAAGACAUUCACUCCACACACUUACAUCACUUAGUUUUUUUUUUUUUUUUUUAAGAGUCCAAUAAUUAAUAUAGUCAGAAUAAUCUCUUCAAAUUCCUAAUCUAAUACUCUCUUUCUAACAUUACAUCAAAUAGUAAUUUCUCCUUAGAAAUAUUACACAAUAGUUCAUAUACAACAAACAUUCAAUCAUAAAAAUAGAUUUUGACCACGAUUCAGACUCUGUUAUGUAGCACCUUAUCUUUUUUUAUGUACAUAACAUAAAAAUAAUAUUGAUUAUUACUUAUAUUUUACUUUCUUAUUGACUUAAAUACAUAGUUUACAUCCUUCAAGAAUAAAUUUGAUUUUUUUCUAUUAGUUGUAAAAUUAUUUUUCAUAAUUAUGUAUAAGCCUCUAAAAUUUCUUAAAAUUACAAAUUGACAUCUAUAUAUUUUCUAAUGAUUACAAAUUAUGCUUAACUAUUUUUAAGUAUUUGCAACUUAGUCCUUGAUUUUUUUAUAAUUGCAAUUUAGUCCCUUGUUAUGCUUUAUUAAUUACAAGUAUGCCCCAAUCAAUUAAUCCCAUUCAUUUUUACAAAUACUUCACUUGAAUGAAAAUUAUUCAUUCAAUAUAGAAUUAUUAAAUUUGUAUUUGAUUUCUCUUAUGAAUUUAAACUAAAAUUUCUAAGAUUUUAGUAAAGAUGUAACUCUUUGAAACUCUCUUGUAUCGAUAUUGUUUAAAUUGUGAGAAGAUGUUUUUAAUUACAUGUUUAUGAAUUAGUUUAUGCUUAUUGUUGGAUGAACUGAUCACUCAUCUUAUUCGGUGGGUACUGGUUCCAAGUUAUGAUUCAAGUAAUUAUCCUCUUGCUUUUAAAUUUUAAGAAUAGACCUAAGGCUCUAGCAGGUUAUAGAGUCCUGCUCGUAAUACAAGUAAUGUAUUUUAAUAGUCAUUAAGGAACCAUACUAAAGAAUAUUGAUCUUUGUAACACCCCUAAUCUGAGAAGUCAUGAGUGAUAAAAUAAUAAAUCUUUUUCAUUGUAAAUCAAAUAAAAACAUUCUAAUAAUUGAAAAUAAAUCUUUUGUAAAUUAUAAACGCAGAAGCAAAAAAACUCAAAUUAAAAAGAUGUUCAAAACAACUCAAACUAAAUUAUAACAUUUCCUUUACAAGAAAAAUAAAGAUAAAAAAUUCCUGAAAACAACUAGAAUGACGUCUCUCGUCAAGCUACUCCAAACCAGCCUCAUCUGCUAAAUCAUGUACUUCUAUACAAGUACAAUCAUUGCAAGUGAAAACCACAACCAUAAUAUGCAAUGGUGAGUAACUAGGAUAACAUCAUAACAGAUACAACACAGUAUAAUGCCAUUAAUCACAUACUAGAGUAAACCAUCACAACAGAUCCCAUAAGAUCACAAUCUGAUUUGUCCACAAACUUAUGUUCUUUCCUUGUACUUUGUCAUGCAAACUUGUUUCUUAAAAUAAAGGAAAAUUGAGAAGUCCUUUGUCGUGACUUCAGACUUAUCUCCUCAACUCCUUACAGACUAACGAGUAAAAACACAAACAUUACGUGCACUAGAACACUUACUUAACACGAGACGAAGCAAUUAGGCAAGACAUCCAACCCUUUCUUUCCUCUCGCAAGAUGAAGGGUAACCCAAACUCCUUAACGUAUAUGAAAAGCUCUCACAUUUGACAAAUUAUAAGAAAAUAAUAUAAUUUAUGCUCAAACCAUAAAUUACAUUCAUAUUCUCAAUAAUAUCCAUUAACCAGUCCAAACUCAAGGAUUAAACCAAAAUGUUAAUUAUUUUCUUAAAUUGACCAACAUUAGAAACCAAAAUUGACAAAUAACUCAAGUGGACCCCACAUGCUCCACCAAUUUUCAUCAAGCCAUUCUAUACGUAUGUAAUUAAGUAAGAAAAUGUUAUGUACUUUCACUAGAACACAUGUUGCUCAUACGAUCAUAACCGCGGGUCCCAAUACAAUUCACCUAUCCCUUUUCAUUAAAUUCCAAAACCAAAACCAAAAGAGAAACUCUCUAUCACCCAACCUGAGACCCAACUAGCUUAUCCCUCUGUCUCUCUUCUUCUCUUGGCCCAACUUUCCAUCUCCUUCAUCUUUACUUAUCUCGCCUCCUCUAGCUAUCACAUGUUUUAGUUUCACACCCACACAUUUUUCUUCAUGUUGGUGGCAACAUGGAAUUCGAAUCCCUGACUUCCUCAAGUUCCUGCAAAACACUUUCAACAAAGAAUAAGAACCCUUAGCUCUCCCUCUUACCUAUGAGAACAUGUCUCAUCUCAUCCUUUAUAAGGGAGAGAAGCCCAAGACCCUCACCCCAACACACUCUGGUUUAGAGAGUGUGAAACCAUGACACGGAAAGGAUCCAAUAGAGAAAGGAAAUGACUUCAUAGUCCUAAGACGCAACAUGCAUAAAAGAAAAGAUUCAACCAACAUUAUUUAUAUUAAAGUUUAAUGAAAAUUCUAGAAGAAUGUAGAAGCUCCUAAGAAAAAAGAGUAAAUUGGGCUUAUAAGAUAAAAGUCCAAGACUAGAGAAGGCCCAAAGUAGAAUUAUAAAAAAAUCCUAUCUAGAAGGAUUCUAGAAUGAUGUAUAAAAAUAUGGUUUAUAGCCUUUAGUUGUCCCUAUUUUCAUUGGGUUUUCACAAUUUGGUCCCCUUCUAUUAAAGUUCUCCAAUUGAGUCCUUAUAAAUGCUAAUUUGAAGCAAUUGAGCCCCUACCGUUAAAUUUCAUUAAUGGAGUUAACAUUUUGCACAGCUUGGACGAUGACGUGUGAAUUUUUAAAACGUGGCAAUGUUUCAUUAAAAAUAUAUAUAAAAAAAUCAUCCUCCAUUACAAGCACCACCGACCCAGAAAUCUUCUUCCCAGAUAGACAAAGAGAGACAUAACAGAUUGAGAAGAAAGAAGCAAUGAGUAAAGAAAAGUGGAAAUGGUGGUUAGAGCACCAUUGGUGGAUGGAUUAAAGUCAUGAAAGAAGUGUGAAAAAAUGAAGUGGGUGAAAGAAAAGGAGAAGAAAAGUGAAGAUAGGAGGAGUCGUUGAUCAGUAUUUUGAAAUCGUGGAAGCUUAAGUUGAAGUUCAUCGUUCAGAAAUGGAAGCCUCAGCGUUGAAAGUGGAGUCACUUGCGUGCAUAGACUCUACCACUAUCUCUCACUCCAAGCUUCUCGCCCUUUCUCUCUCCUCUCUCCGGGCCUUCGACCUUCGCGCCACCAAUGACCUUGUCACACCCAAGAUCGCCAGCUCCCGCCGCCAGACCUACUCCUGCCCCCAAUCUUCCCCGACGGGCCACCGUCGCCGGCCUACUGCCCGCCCCCAAGCCCCCUCCCCUCCUUGCUCACGACCCCGAGAACACCGAAAACCGCCUCAUCAUCGACCACCUUAAACAACUCAUCCGAGAGGACCCCAAAUUCGACCAGGUCCACCUCACUUCUCCUUCCCUUCCCCCACCCAAUGUCAAGCGCAAGCGAGGCCGCAAGCCUAAGCUCAAAUGAAUUACUAAUAAUAACUGGCUUUCCUCCAUCAUCUUCCAGAAAUACAUAUUUCAAAUGUGGUGGUAAUUCCUUCAAUUCAAGCUUGCUUUCCUUCACUUUCUCUUCGGGGUCAAUUCUUUCAAAGCUAGCCUCUUCUAUUGAAAUUUCCUUUGUUACCUCCAAAUCACGGACACAUUCUUCAAUCAUUUUAUCUUCCUUUUCAUGUAAAUCUUCACAUUCAUUAAUGAUUGUUCUCUCCAAUGCAGAUGCAUUUCUUAUUCUCUUAUCUUGCAGCAUACAAAGUUCUUCCACAAUGUCUAUUUGAAAGCAUGACUUUUUAUCUUUAGGAUAUGACAUUGCUUGGAAAACAUCAAAAUUUACCUUUUCAUCCUGUACUCUGACCUUCANCUUACCAUUCUCCACAUCAAUUAAAAUUCUGGUUGUCUUCAUGAAAGGUGUACCAAGAAUCAAAGGUGCAUCUCCAUUUUCCUCCCUCUCCAUAACAACAAAAUCUACCUAGAAUAAAAGUUUAUCCACCUUAACUAUCACGUCUUCAGCCACUCCAUAUGGAUAUUUAAGAGAUCUGUCUGCCAAUUGAAGAGUCAUCCUUGUUGGCUUAAGUUCUAAUCCUCUAAUCUUUUUGAACAUAGAAAGAGGCAUUAGAUUAAUGCUAGCUCCCAGAUUAAUCAAAGCUUUCCCCACUUCUAAACUCCCUGGAUCUUGCAAUUUAGGAGGUAAUCUCCUUUGUAUGUCUGCACUAUAAUUUCCUUGCACUUCAAUGGUUUCCUUCUCAACAUACUUCCUCUUUUUCGUAGAAGUUCCUUUAGAAAUUUGGCAUAUGAGGGCAUUUGCUGAAGUGCCUCAGAAAAUGGUAUGGUUAUUUCCAACUUCCUAAAAAUCUCCAUGAAGCGCUCAAACUGUUUUUCUUUCUCUCUUCUUAAGUAUGUCUUUGGAUAAGGAAAAGGUUUAACAUACUCCCUCUCUUUAAAUAUUUCAACCUCUUCUUCCUGACUAUCACUCUCAUCUCUCAAAAUUUAAUUAAUCAUAUGUUUUGUCUCACCCCCUCCUGCUGCUCACUCUUUUUUUCCACACUCUCUUUUUCUGCCUCUCUUCUCUCAACUCUUCUCUCUUCUAAUACUCUCCCACUUCUGGUAAUCAUCUCACAUGCUUCCCUUUUCUCCACUCGGUUAACAUAUAACACACUGCUAUUCACGACCUUCUGAAAAAUCUCUUCAAACUCUACACUCCUUUGUAUCGGCAUGAAUUGAGACUGCUCUGAAAUCCUUGGAGUUGUUAUCAUCUCCUGUGGUAAGGCAGACAAUUUCUGAAUAAUUAUCUCCAACUGCUGAGCAAUUAUCUUAUUUUGUUCCAUCAUAGGGCUGUGAUUCUGUGAUCCUGGAAUUAUUUGAAAAAAAUCAGCACUUUCACUCUGUGUUUCUUCAUUAUCUGCCAUAUUCUCUAUCAGCUCAUAAGCCUCAUCCUCAGUCUUUCUUUUUAUGUCCCCUCCAGAUUGCAAGUUUAACCCUCCAAGGAAUGCAAGAACUAUGGUAGUCUUAUCAAACCCAUGGACUGUGGUCUUCUUCAAUAGGCUUUUAAACCUAUCCCAUGCUUGCCCAAGAGUCUCUUCCAUGCCCUGUUUGAAUGAUGAGGUCUCCAGGCUUCCCUGCGUAACUUUGGACUAUGGAAAAUAUUUCUUGAAAAAUCUCGUAGCCACAGUUUCCCCGGUAGUGAAUGUUCCUGCAGGAAAGGAAUUAAGCCAAGUCUUAACAUUGCCUCCCAAUGAGAAUGGGAAGAGGCUAAGCUUUAUUCUCUCAUCUGAUACACCUGCCAUCUUCACUGUAUUGCAGAUUUCACUAAAAGCUGUCAAAUGGUCAUAUGGAUUCUCAUUUGACAGGCCGUGAAACUGGUUGCUUUGCACCAGGUGUAUAAGCGCUGGAUUCAUCACCAUGUUGGUCGUUUGAUCCGUAGGCAUGACUAUACUGUUCAAAUGGAAAGGGCCCACAACAUUAGAUUGGUCUGCAAGAGUGCGUCUUGGAGGAGUUCAUUCAGCCAUCUCCUUUGCUCUUCGAACUGGUGAAGGUGAUAGUAAUCUGUCAGGGGAAGGAAAGGAAGGAGUUUUAGGUAGAUAAAAUUCAUGAUUUUGCCAAUAUGAAAAAGUGUAAAUGCUUAGGCUGGAAAAGGGGCUCUGCAGAGAAUGAAUGGCGAAAAAGGAUGCACAGGUUGAAUAUUUCAGGGUGAUUCCGAGUGAUGUNCAUAACCUAUUGUUUUUCAGUUGAAUUGUGCGGGUGAAUUUCAUCACUGCAUUAUAUACAUAUGGUAUAAUAUAUGUGCUUCUGAUUCUUUUAAUCAGUGGUGAUAUUCUUUAUUAUGCUUUUCCUUAAUUUUUGCAGAGAACGUUUCCGAUUUAAUUGAAGCCUCUCCCUCCCAACAUCGUACCAUCUUUGUUGCGCUGCAUAAACAUUUAAUAACAACACAAAAUCCCCGCAAUGGAUUUGCCCACUUUCUUUCAAAACGCUCUUCACAAUUUGGCUAGAAAAUUUGGCAUACGAAGGAGAGGUCAUCCGGGGGAGAUGGAGCAGAGCUCGAGGAGCUUUUUGACCGAGAAUGGUGGAAUUGGAAUUUUCUGGUUGUUAUGAGAUGCACUUGGAGAUGCUUCAUGCCACGUUUCAACUCUCAAUAUAUCACGUUUCAACUCUUAGUAUGACACAUGUUCAAUAAUUGAUACAUCAACCUCUCACCUGUGCAAAGACUUAACUCCGUCAAGUAAAUUUAACGACAAGGGCUAUUCAUUCAAAUUAACACUUUUUAGGACUUAAUUGGAAAUUUUAAAAGAACGGAGAUCAAACUGGGAAAAACCCACAUAAAUAGAAACAACUAAAGGGUUUAAACCAAAAUUUAACGUGUUGAAGAAUACUUUUUUCUUGACAUAUUAAAUUUAAAAUAGUUUUCCUGUGAUGUAAUUUUGUCAUGGAUUUAGAAUAGUGCAUCAUGUUUUUCUUUCCCUUUCUUUGGUUUUAUAAUAUUUUUUAAUAAAAUCUUUAUCUAACGAUAUAGGUGUGAACUUAUUUGAAAAUAUAAUAUAUUUAUUAAGUUUAAUUUAUGUAACUGUGAUUAAGGAAUAUAUAACUUCUAUACUCUAAAUUUAUAUAUUAAAAUAUAUAAUCAAUUAAAAUAUAAUAAAUGAAAUAUAAUGUAUUUAUUAAAUUUAAUUAAUAUAUAAUUGUGAUUGCAAAUAUAUAACGUCUAAUAUAACUUCAUAUAAUUAAUAUAAUUAAUGUACAACUAAACAAAAAUUAAUUACUACAAAGAUCUAUGCAUUCCCCCACCCCAUUUUUCAAGGAGUUCAAAGAUAUUUUUCAAAAAUUAAUUAGUACAAAUAUCAUUUCAUUGCCCCACCGCAAUUUUCAAGGAGUUCAAAGAGAUUUUUCACUCUAUUUAAACAAGCAAGUGCAUGUUGAUUGAACCAAUAUUACAAAGAAAAAACAUUGACAGAAUUGUUAAAAAUGACUAAGGUUUUCUUUUCACACAUAGUUGCCUUCAUCCUUAUCAUUUCAGGUUUGAUGAUUUCCCAAUUUCUAAUAUUUCGAUAACAUCAUAUUCAAUGUUAAAUUGUUCAUUGAUCAUAGGUUUAUUCUUAUUCUAUCUUGCAUUUUUCAGUUAUUUCAAGAACAAGCGGAAUACAUGUCAAAAGAUGUGAAAAAUUGAUACAGCCCACAAACUGCACCAUCGAAAAAUGUCGAUCAGAUUGCUCCAAGAUGUUUAAAAGCUUAUUAGAACCGUUUGGAGAAUGCGUUCAAAACACUAAGACUAAUACUUAUGAAUGUUUUUGCUUCUACGAUUGUGAUGCAACACCACAUUUGGUGUAAACCUAGGCAGCGAUAAUAUGUACCCAUUUAAAGAGGGUGAGAGAAAAAAGGUUUCUAAACAAUAUAGUUUUAUGAUCCCUUAUACCAUUUUCUCUUUUCUUUUUUCAACUUGUUGCACUUAGGACCAGGGUUUUAUACCCUUUGAUAUGGUUCUAUUGAAUCAAUAUAAAAGUUAAAUGGGAAUUGAUAUAAAUUUAAUUAAAAAUCCUAAUAAAAUAUAAAUCUUACCAAAAAUGAAUCAACUUGUCCUAAAAUGGACCUGAUUGAGUUAAUACGAGAAGGAAAGUUUUACGACCUGAUUGAGUUAAUAGGACAAGGAAAGUUUAACGGUAAUGAUUCUAAUGUUCAAGUCACUAUAUUAUAUUCUAUGAGUAUUCAAGUGAAAGAUAUGUAUGUGGUUAUUGGAUUACUACCUUUGACAAGGAUAAUUAUAGAUUUUUGUAAGUUUGCUUAGUGUCAAAAAUUAAUAACAAAUCAUAACAUUUAACUAUAUAAUAGUUAUCAAAUGAACACUGGAUGACAAAUUUUAUGUUUUAACCUAUAAUGGAAAGGAAGGAGUUUUAGGUGGAUAAAAGUCGUAAUUUUGCCAAUAUGAAAAAGUGUAAAUGCUUAGGCUGGAAAAGGGGCUCUGCAGAGAAUGAAUGGCGAAAAAGGAUGCACAGGUUGAAUAUUUCAGGGUGAUUCCGAGUGAUGUNCAUAACCUAUUGUUUUUCAGUUGAAUUGUGCGGGUGAAUUUCAUCACUGGAUUAUAUACAUAUGGUAUAAUAUAUGUGCUUUUGAUUCUUUUAAUCAGUGGUGAUCUUCUUUAUUAUGCUUUUCCUUAAUUUUUACAGAGAACGUUUCCGAUUUAAUUGAAGCCUCUCCCUCCUAACAUCGAAUCAUCUCUGUUGCGCUGCAUAAACAUUUAAUAACAACACAAAAUCCCCACAAUGGAUUUGCUCACUUUCUUUCAAAACGCUCUUCACAAUUUGGCCAGAAAAUUUGGCAUGCGAAGGAGAGGUCGUUGGGGGGAGAUGGAGCAGAGCUCGAGGAGCUUUUUGACCGAGAAAGGUGGAAUUGGAAUUUUCUGGUUGUUAUGAGAUGCACUUGGAGAUGCUUCAUGUCACGUUUCAACUUUCAAUAUAUCACGUUUCAACUCUUAGUAUGACAGAUGUUCAAUAAUUGAUACAUCAACCUCUCACCUGUACAAAG
rnacentral:lncRNA from 1 species